GAUGAAGAACGCAGCAAAAUGUGAUACUUGGUGUGAAUUGCAGAAUCCCGUGAACCAUCGAGUUUUUGAACGCAAGUUGCGCCCGAAGCCUUUUGGCCGAGGGCACGUCUGCCUGGGCGUCACGCAUCGCGUCGCCCCCCACAGAUUCUCCGUCAGGGGAGCUUGUGUUUCGGGGGCGGAUACUGGUCUCCCGUGCUCAUGGCGCGGUUGGCCGAAAUAGGAGUCCCUUCGAUGGACGCACGAACUAGUGGUGGUCGUAAAAACCCUCGUCUUUUGUUUCGUGCCGUUAGUCGCGAGGGAAGCUCUUCAAAAACCCCAACGCGUCGUCUCUUGACGGCGCUUCGACCGCGACCCCAGGUCAGGCGGGACUACCCGCUGAGUUUAAGCAUAUCAAUAAGCGGAGG
rnacentral:misc_RNA from 1 species